UUACAAAUAUCGCUGAGGCGAUUCUAAAGUGAAUUAAAAUGUAAAAUAUUCAACAAUAUGGCUGAACCACCGAAUCUCACGGCCCGAGAAGUGCAGCAGGUAUUUGCAGAGAUUCUCAGCCAUGGCGAGGACAUCACCUGGGAUCUAUUGCUGCAGAAUCAACGAGACAUUCUAAAAAGGAAAGUUCGAGAAAUAUUUAAUCAGAGACAUAAAUAAUUCUGGACAACGUUUGGACUCUACGUAAAUGCGCCAACGGCCAGUCCCUUUCUGCGUUGUUCUUUGCGGUUAUUGUGAAUGGAGUGACCGACUUGAAGGAGGCAGAGAAUAGCAGAUCCUGGUCGAUCCACCCAGUUUUCCGCUGCCGUCGCUGCGAUGGUAAUGUCGUACAUUAAAGUAGUUUCAAAUUGAUCCAAUUGCAUAUGCCUAUCACUAUAUCCACGGAUGGAGGGAUGAGCAGCAGCCCAGACUGUUGCGUGAUGUAUGUGGAUCAAAGCGGGCUCUUUGAGGACUGGGAUACAUACUUAAAGCGCACAGCUCUUCCCGCAGGUUAUGGUAACCUGGGAUCGAGGAGUCUACAAACUGAUCGAUGGCCAGGUUGAGCUAAAAAGCUUAUUUGAUAACGGAGAAAAUGUACACACGCAAUGCGUGCUUCAUAACGUCUGAAGGUCUGAAGGCAGCCUUGGAAUUUCCUGGAGUGCAUCGGCUUUACUCGGAAUCAAGAUCUAGAUAUAUAUUGCAAGUAACAUGCAAUGCAAUUCUACUACACAUAUAAGAGCGAGCGACAAAGUGCUAUACCUGCUUUUGUAUGAUACUUUUAAUCUCUGGUAUAUGUAUGAGAAACGUUCUAUUUGUGCUC